GUGAGGUAAUGGCUCACCAAGGCUACGACGGGUAGCUGGUCUGAGAGGACGAUCAGCCACACUGGGACUGAGACACGGCCCAGACUCCUACGGGAGGCAGCAGCAGGGAAUAUUGCACAAUGGGCGCAAGCCUGAUGCAGCGACGCCGCGUGAGGGAUGAAGGCCUUCGGGUUGUAAACCUCUUUCAGGAGGGGCGAAGCGCAAGUGACGGUACCUCCAGAAGAAGCCCCGGCCAACUACGUGCCAGCAGCCGCGGUAAUACGUAGGGGGCGAGCGUUGUCCGGAUUCAUUGGGCGUAAAGAGCUCGUAGGCGGCUCAGUAAGUCGGCCGUGAAAGCCCAGGGCUCAACCCUGGGAGGCCGGUCGAUACUGCUGUGGCUAGGGUCCGGUAGAGGAGAGUGGAAUUCCCGGUGUAGCGGUGGAAUGCGCAGAUAUCGGGGGGAACACCAGUAGCGAAGGCGGCUCGCUGGGCCUUUUCUGACGCUGAGGCGCGAAAGCGUGGGGAGCAAACAGGAUUAGAUGCCCUGGUAGUCCACGCCGUAAACGCUGGGCACUAGGUGUCGGGAGGCUUGGCCCUCUCGGUGUCGAAGCUAACGCAUUAAGUG
rnacentral:rRNA from 1 species